rnacentral:rRNA from 1 species
UACGAAGGGGGCUAGCGUUGCUCGGAAUUACUGGGCGUAAAGCGCACGUAGGCGGCUUCUUAAGUCGGUGGUGAAAUCCUGGAGCUCAACUCCAGAACUGCCUUCGAUACUGGGAGCUCGAGUCCGGGAGAGGUGAGUGGAACUGCGAGUGUAGAGGUGAAAUUCGUAGAAUAUUCGCAAGAACACCAGUGGCGACGGCGGCUCACUGGCCCGGUACUGACGCUGAGGUGCGAAAGCGUGGGGAG